UUUAUUUGUUUGCAUUAUUUUUCAUGUUAUUCUAGAGAAAAAUUCAGAGAGUUUAGAACACAGGUUUUGUUCGCUGUACAAAUUGUUUGGAGUGCUACUACAAUUUGUGAAGAUCAUUAUAUCUUGGGAGAUAAAUGCCAUUUAUCUUGAAAGAAUGGCUGAGAUUUGACUUCAUUCACAACCACAACUGAGAGCUAUUUUUGGAAGAUAAAAGGAGCGAAGGGCAGCUGUUUUAUUUCACAUUGCAUACGUUUCAACAAUCUUAAGGAGAUUCUGAGUAUUUAAAACAUUGAUGUAGUUGAACUAUCAACUCCCUCUUUUUCCGAGAAAGUGUGACAUUUGUUUUCCCGAGAAAGUGUUACGAAGUUCUUUGUGCGGUGAGGGAUGUUUUGCCGCUGAGAUCGUUAAGAUUUCCAUAUUUAUUGAAAGCGCAUUUGAUAGUUUGAUUAUUGGUGUUGUGUGCAGAGAAAA